CAGAUGAAUCAAGAUAGGUUGGGGGAGAGGGAGAAGGAUCCAGAAAUGGAGAGACAGAGAUGAGUCAGAGAAACAGAGACAGAGGACAGACACUGUCAGGGAAGGUAGAGGCAUAGGGAAAAGGGACACAGGGAAAGGAAGAUAUUUAGGGAGGGACUAGGAGAGAAGGAAAGAACAAAAAAUAAUAGUGGGAGUAGAGACAGAAUGGAACAGACAGAAGAAAAGACACCCAGACAGCUGGCUCUUCCCACUGUACGCUCUGUCACCUUUCCCCAGGCCUACCCUCUGAAGAGGUCCAAGCAACGGAAGUACUACUACGAAGCUGCCUUUCUGGCCAUCCUUGAGAAAAACAGACAGAUGGCCAAGGAGAGGGGCCUAAUAAGCCCCAGUGAUUUUGCCCAGCUGCAAAAAUACAUGGAAUGUGAGUCUUCCUGUCAGGCCUUCAGUUCUGGAGACCCUGCCCCAGAGAAUCCCUCCUCCUCCUCAUUACACCCCCUGCCCCCCAGCUUCCUCAGUGGCUUUGAGCAGUGUGCUGCUCAGAUGUGCCCAUGACUGGAAAUGGGAGGAGUGGGAGAUGGGGAGAUGUCAGAAAAAGAUCCGGAUCUACCACAGUCUAACUGGGCUGCAUUGUGCAAGGUCUCGGCUCUCUACCCACCUUCGCUAUACCUGGACUGCUUGCUCCAGCUCUCAGAGAAGAGGAGUAAAGAGUGGUACUGUUUUGGAGGAUCUGAAAUAUUUUUCCCUCUGUAUUUCUGUGUUUCUUCUUGGAAUUUCUUCAUCUCAUUUGAAUCUUUUUUCCUGCUGGAUUUCUCUGGCAAGAGAACUCAGCUGGACUAAUAAUGCUGUUCUCUUACUCUCUCUACACCCUAGACUCCACCAAAAAGGUCAGUGAUGUCCUAAAGCUCUUCGAGGAUGGCGAGAUGGCUAAAUAUGUCCAAGGAGAUGCCAUUGGGUACGAGGGAUUCCAGCAAUUCCUGAAAAUCUAUCUGGAAGUGGAUAAUGUUCCCAGACACCUAAGCCUGGCACUGUUUCAAUCCUUUGAGACUGGUCACUGCUUAAAUGAGACAAAUGUGACAAAAGAUGUGGUGUGUCUCAAUGAUGUUUCCUGCUACUUUUCCCUUCUGGAGGGUGGUCGGCCAGAAGACAAGUUAGAAUGUGAGUUGCCCUUCUGAAGUGAGGUGGCAGGGCAGUGAAGGGAGAGAGAGGUGUUUCCCAUCCUCCUUUCCCUUAUUCCUUCAGGAUUCCUAAAGGCUGACAGGUCUAGACAAAGGUGGGGCCAGAGAAUGAGCCCAUUUCCUGUGUUCUCCCAGACUAUUUAUACCUAAUACCCUUCACCAUAGUCACCCCAGUACCCAUGUCUUGUGCAUUCCCAUGUAGGCGGCCUAGGAUAUCCUUGGGAUAUGGAUUGUGUAUUGUCUCCCCUGACACAUUCACUGAGGGUGGAGUCCAUGCCUGUUUUCCUUUCCUUUUUGUCUCUCUCUCAGUCCCAUCCCAGGCUCUAGGCUUCUCACCCAAAAGCUCUCUCCCUGUCUCUUUGUUUCCCCCAUAUUCUGGUAUGAAUUCUUUGGGUAUCUCUCACAAACUGACCCUGGCCCCCCUAAAACACCCCACAGUCACCUUCAAGCUGUACGACACGGACAGAAAUGGGAUCCUGGACAGCUCAGUGAGUUGGGGACCCUGUAUGCUGGGCAAGGGAAUAUGUGUUAAUUUGUCUGCACCCUCCUGCCCCAACUCUUCCAGGGUCUUAAGAAACAGAAGAGGAUGGGGGGAGAGGUUGAGUCCUCUAGGACUAAAUUUGAAAGUAAGUCCCAAGCUCUUGACCCCUCAAAGAGAAUGCUGGAGACAUGAAUUGGGUCUGCCUUACAAACAUACAAACACAUUUAUUUACUUGGCAGACGUACCUGAGAAUGAGAGGUGUGAAUCUGGGGUGGAACCCAGGAACACUGAUUUCUGGAAAAGAGUUUGGAUGGUGGUAGUAAAGGGGAUAUGGCUGUGGCUCUUCCCUUUUUGCUCCAGGAAGUGGACAAAAUUAUCCUACAGAUGAUGCGAGUGGCUGAAUACCUGGAUUGGGAUGUGUCUGAGCUGAGGCCGGUAAGGCAGCUCUUCCUUCAUGUCCUUUCUUGUACCUUCUUCCCUGGUGAGUCCUGCAUCUGCCUUACUUCAUCUCUGACAGGCAACCUGGUUCCCUUGGCUAGGAUGGCUGGGCUGGAUAUCCUAAGAGGCAGUGGAGAGGUGUUGGGUCUGAAGACCCACUCAUACUGAAAGUCCCUUUCCACUCUGUGCUCAGAUUCUUCAGGAGAUGAUGAAAGAGAUUGACUAUGAUGGCAGUGGCUCUGUCUCUCAAGCUGAGUGGGUCCGGGCUGGGGCCACCACCGUGCCACUGCUAGUGCUGCUGGGUCUGGAGAUGACUCUGAAGGACGAUGGACAGCACAUGUGGAGGCCCAAGAGGUUCCCCAGACCAGUCUACUGCAAUCUGUGCGAGUCAAGCAUUGGUCUUGGCAAACAGGGACUGAGCUGUAACCUCUGUAAGUACACUGUUCACGACCAGUGUGCCAUGAAAGCCCUGCCUUGUGAAGUCAGCACCUAUGCCAAGUCUCGGAAGGACAUUGGUGUCCAAUCACAUGUGUGGGUGCGAGGAGGCUGUGAGUCCGGGCGCUGCGACCGCUGUCAGAAAAAGAUCCGGAUCUACCACAGUCUGACCGGGCUGCAUUGUGUAUGGUGCCACCUAGAGAUCCACGAUGACUGCCUGCAAGCGGUGGGCCAUGAGUGUGACUGUGGGCUGCUCCGGGAUCACAUCCUGCCUCCAUCUUCCAUCUAUCCCAGUGUCCUGGCCUCUGGACCGGAUCGUAAAAAUAGCAAAACAAGCCAGAAGACCAUGGAUGAUUUAAAUUUGAGCACCUCUGAGGCUCUGCGGGUACAGGGCUGAGAGUCUUGGGCUUCAUGAUGGGGGCAGGUUUUUCACUGGAGCCCUCAUGGGUGGGAAUGAAGUGGGAGAGCCUGGUGGGGGGCGGUUGAUGCUCACUCUCCAGAAACUCCACCAUGGUAGGGGAGGGAAGGGGAGGGAAACAGGAGGGAGGGGGGAAAUAUCUUGGUGGAAUGCUAGCCCUCUGCCCCUGUCUCCUGGGCCCACCUUAACUCUGACAAAAUCCUGCUUUCUUUAUCCUUAUUUUCUUCCCCCAAUGCAGAUUGACCCUGUUCCUAACACCCACCCACUUCUCGUCUUUGUCAAUCCUAAGAGUGGCGGGAAGCAGGGGCAGAGGGUGCUCUGGAAGUUCCAGUAUAUAUUAAACCCUCGACAGGUGUUCAACCUCCUAAAGGAUGGUCCUGAGAUAGGGCUCCGAUUAUUCAAGGAUGUUCCUGAUAGCCGGAUUUUGGUGUGUGGUGGAGAUGGCACAGUAGGCUGGAUUCUAGAGACCAUUGACAAAGCUAACUUGCCAGUUUUGCCUCCUGUUGCUGUGUUGCCCCUGGGUACUGGAAAUGAUCUGGCUCGAUGCCUAAGAUGGGGAGGAGAUGGAAUCUCGCUCUGUUGCCCAUGCUGGAGUGCAGUGGUGCCAUCUCAGCUCACUGCAACCUCUGCCUCCCAGGUUCAAGUGAUUCUCCUGUCUCAGCCUCCUGAAUAGCUGGAAAUACAGGUGGUAUGAAGGACAGAAUCUGGCAAAGAUCCUCAAGGAUUUAGAGAUGAGUAAAGUGGUACAUAUGGAUCGAUGGUCUGUGGAGGUGAUACCUCAACAAACUGAAGAAAAAAGUGACCCAGUCCCCUUUCAAAUCAUCAAUAACUACUUCUCUAUUGGCGUGGUCAGUGGAAUGGGGCCUGGGGAGAAGGGAGAAAGGGGGGGCCAAGCAGUCAGAGGCUGGAGGAGAGCAGAAAAGGAGGGGGAGGUUAAGUGACCUGUGACACAGGGAAAUUGGGAGUGCAGUACAGUGCUGAGUUGCAAGGGAAGAUCUUGGGACAUGCUGUGGCGAGCAGUGUGGGGACUUGGGAAAGAGGGGAGACCGGGAGGGAGAGAUUGAGCUCUGUACUGACCUUCAUGUCCCGAACUCUCCAGGAUGCCUCUAUUGCUCAUCGAUUCCACAUCAUGCGAGAGAAAUAUCCGGAGAAGUUCAACAGCAGGUUAGGGAAAGGAGGGGGCAGUGUGGGCAUACACAGUGUCAGGAGCCAGGUUUUGACCAAGUUUGACUCAGAUUGCUCAGAAGAACAGUGGCACCUCUAGGAGGUCCCCCAACCAAAGCCACCCUUGUUCCCCAUGGGACCAAAGUUAGGAGGUUGAUGCCCUUCCCUGUCACGUACCACCCCUGCCAGCACUGUGUAACCUGUCCCUCCCUACUGGGCCUUGUGUUGGGGCUGACACAGAAUGAAGAACAAGCUAUGGUACUUCGAAUUUGCCACAUCUGAAUCCAUCUUCUCAACAUGCAAAAAGCUGGAGGAGUCUUUGACAGUUGAGAUCUGUGGGAAACCGCUGGAUCUGAGCAACCUGUCCCUAGAAGGCAUCGCAGUGCUAAACAUCCCUAGCAUGCAUGGUGGCUCCAACCUCUGGGGUGAUACCAGGAGACCCCAUGGGGAUAUCUAUGGGAUCAACCAGGCCUUAGGUGCUACAGCUAAAGUCAUCACCGACCCUGAUAUCCUGAAAACCUGUGUACCAGACCUAAGUGACAAGAGACUGGAAGUGGUCGGGCUGGAGGGUGCAAUUGAGAUGGGCCAAAUCUAUACCAAGCUCAAGAAUGCCGGACGUCGGCUGGCCAAGUGCUCUGAGAUCACCUUCCACACCACAAAAACCCUUCCCAUGCAAAUUGAUGGAGAACCCUGGAUGCAGACGCCCUGUACAGUGAGUAUUGACGAUCCCAGCCAAAAAUUAAACCCUUGGGCUCCAUGGAUCCUAAAUCCCCAUUCCACAGCUUCUUUACACCCUUCUGAUGCCUGAACUUCCCCUGCACAUCAUUCAUCCUAAACCCUGAUUUCUCAGCCCCUGGUUUCCCUAUCGUGGCCUCUCUAGGAAUCUAGCAACCCACCCCAAACCCCACAGAUUUCCCUCUAAAUCUCUGAAGCCACAGCCCCAAAGUAUCAGGUCCUGCCUCUGAAUGUGCUCCCUUCCCUUCCAGAUCAAGAUCACCCACAAGAACCAGAUGCCCAUGCUCAUGGGCCCACCCCCCCGCUCCACCAAUUUCUUUGGCUUCUUGAGCUAAGGGGGACACCCUUGGCCUCCAAGCCAGCCUUGAACCCACCUCCCUGUCCCUGGACUCUACUCCCGAGGCUCUGUACAUUGCUGCCACAUACUCCUGCCAGCUUGGGGGAGUGUUCCUUCACCCUCACAGUAUUUAUUAUCCUGCACCACCUCACUGUUCCCCAUGCGCACACACAUACACACACCCCAAAACACAUACAUUGAAAGUGCCUCAUCUGAAUAAAAUGACUUGUGUUUCCCCUUUGGGAUCUGCU
rnacentral:sRNA from 1 species